GCCCUGAUAUUUACCCAAAGGCUUCAUCUCGGAGGAAGACAAGUGCAGUUAACAUUUCAGCUGGAUUGUCGCACUACGACCUACAGUACUUUAGGGGUAGAAGUAGAUCAAACAGUUUUCCAGAUUUUUAGGUCACCUGAGUAAACUCAGGGGACCUAUUCAAUUGAUUUUCGUCCGUCGUGCUUUAACAAUUGAGCAUUUUAAACUUCUAUUUACAAAACAAAUAUCCAUGGGAGCUAUAUAUAAUCAUAGAAGAAGAUUCAACAAAUGUUCAAUAGAAAAUCAGAUGAAGUAUACUCAGCUCAAUAAUUCAUACAACUGGUAUGUAUGGCACUAUAUACAAAUACAAGUUAUUCUUAAUGCACAUAUUAUAUAACAAAUUUAUGGAUCAUAUUGUACAUUUUUAAAAAAAAAUACUCUCAUGUCAACACUUUACAGGAAAAAAAAUAAUAAACACUGUUUAAUAUGUAUGUAACAUAACACAUACAUAAAAGAUUAAUGUCUCAUAUAUAGUCAUGUCAACAAUUAUCAAGAAAAUAUCAACAUUCAACAAUUUCCUUGCAGUAACAACAUAUCACAAGAAGCUCAUCAUAUGCCAAGAAGAAAGAAAACAGGAUUAUACUAGCAGGGUCUGAAGAGGUCUUCUAAGGGAGAGGUAUGCUCAAUGGAAUGGGAAGGAUUCCUCGGUCUGGGUCGCUGUCUGGCAGGCUGGUAAACUACAGACUUAAUAGCUGGUGGAGGAGGGGACUUCCGACGGCGCAUAGUCUGGGGCCUCUCUCCUUCUCCAGGACGGAGGUGAAUGCGCUGAGAAGCAGGGUCAUCCAGCUUUUCACGGAACAGCCUCUGGAGAUCCAAGAUGACGGAUGUGUUGUUCCGGAGGGCACGCUCCUGCCUCUCGGCAAUCUCCUUGAGCCUUGACACCUCAUCCUUGUAGGGGGUGGUGUUAAUUCCUACAUCCUUGGUGCAUUUAGACGUUUCCUGGUCAGUGUCAAACUAACUGGUAUCCUCAAAAACAAGAAACUCUGACAGAAUACUUACAUCCUCCUUAGCAAGCACUGUUGAACUACUGGGAACCGUGGAUGUAGACUCAGACGAUACAACAGGCUCAGCUACAGGUAGACAGAAGGGUUCAGCUGGAGGCACAGAUGCAGGAGUAUCAGGCACUUCAGGGAGACAGCCACCAACAUCAACAGGAGUGUCAGCAGACACAGGUUCACCGAAAGAGACAGUUUGGAGCCACAACUGGGACAACAGCUGAAGUUCCACUGGGAGGGAAAGUGGACGGCAGAAUGGCACGCACUGUUACAGGGGUGGAUGGAAUAACCUGAACCUGUGUAGUGGCUGGAACUCGGCGCUUCCUCUCCCAGUAGGCUGCAGAGUCCUCAGUAGACAAUUGCCGUAUCAUGGUAAAUACUACCUUGCUCUCCUCCCUGACGUCAGCUGAAGAAGGAAGGGGAACAACAGAAGAUCCCUUCAAUGCUGAGUGCAAGGAAUGCCACUGAGGAUGCUUCUGGAAGUUAGUGUAAUCAUAAUGACAGUAUCCACAUAUUGGACACAUAUAGGGCCACUCAUCAAAAGUGAGAUGUUUAGAAAAUACAUGUCUUAAGGCAUAAUGCCGUUCUCCUCUAAGAUGGCACAAACAGCAUUCCCACAUUCUCCCACUCUUUCCAGCUGAAGAAAUAGACAUCUUGAAAGUCUGCAAGAAAUAACUGCACAAAAUUUGUGCAAGUGUUUCCUGGCAAUUUCAUGAGCAUGGUAAAGUUUAGACCUUAUUUCUUCAGCAAAAUCUCCAUAAGAUGAAAUUUCUUCUCCAUUGGAAGCUAAAGAAUGAUGUGUUGCCUCAUAUGGCAUUUGGAUCUCUCGACCAAACAUCAAUAAGUUUGGGGGUAAUGGGCCAAUAAAGUCAGUGGCAAGACAUUCCCUUGGAGCACCAUAUGACAUCUUUCCAAGAAGAGCUUUGGGUUUCUGUAUUGGAGGACUGGAGAAAUAUCGGGAUCUUUAAGUUAGCAGUUUGCAGAGCUGCAGAAGAAUAUUGACUCUGCCAGAUAGUACAGUCUGAUAAUGCAGUUUCCUGAUGUUUUUGUCUUGUAGUGACCUUCCAUGCAACAAUCUCUGAUUGUUCAGGAGACAAAGACUGAACAGAUAUGUCAGAACUGUAAUCUCUACCAACUAUCAAGUCCUCUUCUACUUGUCUGCUAAUUGGAGAAUCCAAAUCUCGACUUCUUCGUGCAGCACGGCUACGAGUUUUUCUCUUAGAACCCAUUUUGUAAUGAAUAAUGUGUUCAGAACAACCAACAAGACUUGUUAUAUUUCAAAAUAACCACUUACUGAAUCUGUAAAUAUAACAGAGAAUUUUUUUUUCUCUUAGCUGGGUUUGAUCACUGGGUCUGUAUUUUUUUUAAAAAUAGAUCCCGCCGUGGAUACCAAAAUAUUGUAACGACACCGGAUAAACGCACUGGUAUAUGAUAAUAAAACUAAAUUAUUUCUUUUUCUCUCUACUUCCAAAUUGAAGGUUAAAGAAAAUAAAAGACAAGUCUUGUAAAAUUAACAAAUCAACGGUUUAUUCUGAACACAUAUUUUAUUUCUAUAAAUCAGUAAUUUCAAAU